rnacentral:lncRNA from 1 species
GUCAUCUUUUGUUCUUGCAAGAAGGGCCCCAUGGAAGUCAGCAAUUUUCAUGGAACUGACAUCUAGCGAGAGAAAGCAGGCACAGAUCAGUAAGUAACGUGUCCUGGGUCCCAUCAGGAGUGGCGGUCGGCCUGAGAGCCCUGUGCUCCACCACUACACUGUGUCAACUCUGCAAGACAACACAGACAAACAAAACAGGAGCAUACCGGAGCAUAGCACUGAAUGUGAGCCCUGCCUGCCUGGAGCCCUCCUCAGAAGGAAGACUUUGCUGAUGACGCACUUUCCGGUGUCUUGACUCUCCCCACGUAGGAUAAUUCAGGUAUGGGCCACCACGAAAUCACUGAGCGGGGUAAUCAUGCAAAGGCCAGCAUGCCUCACUCAGGAAAAGAAAGGGACGCUGAUUUUUAGCUUGUUUAUAUAGCGUAGUGGUCAGUGUUCUUAUUUCAUGGUUAUCAUCUUAUUUUAUCCUCAGAACAGCCCUGUUGGAUAAGUAUUAUCACCC